GUCUGGGUGAAGCUACUGGUCAUCAGAAAUGCAGAAACCUGACUCGAAAGGCCAAUCUUUUGUUCUACAGUAGUGAUGUUAUCUGUCAGGAGUAAUUGGGGAAGUUGCAAGUCUUGUGACUUCUGGAAAAAUAGCUGCACUAAGAACAGGCAGCUCUGAGAACCACCUGAGUCGUUACCAUCUGGGACGAGUGCGCAGAUUGAGCCCAGCGUUUUGCCUAUACACAUUUUGAAGUGCAACUCACAGUGACUUCAUCUGCAUAACAUCAGGGCAUAGAGCUCUCCUCUUCCAGCGGAGAAGUUCAGUGAC
rnacentral:lncRNA from 1 species